GAUGAACGCUGGCGGCGUGCCUAAUACAUGCAAGUCGAGCGAACGGACGAGAAGCUUGCUUUUCUGAUGUUAGCGGCGGACGGGUGAGUAACACGUGGAUAACCUACCUAUAAGACUUGGAUAACUUCGGGAAACCGGAGCUAAUACCGGAUAAUAUUUUGAACCGCAUGGUUCAAAAGUGAAAGACGGUCUUGCUGUCACUUAUAGAUGGAUCCGCGCUGCAUUAGCUAGUUGGUAAGGUAACGGCUUACCAAGGCAACGAUGCAUACCCGACCUGAGAGGGUGAAGGGCCCCACUGGAACUGAGACACGGUCCAGACUCCUACGGGAGGCAGCAGUAGGGAAUCUUCGGAGAUGGGCGAAAGCCUGACGGAGCAACGCCGCGUGAGUGAUGAAGGUCUUCGGAUCGUAAAACUCUGUUAUUAGGGAAGAACAUAUGUGUAAGUAACUGUGCACAUCUUGACGGUACCUAAUCAGAAAGCCACGGCUAACUACGUG
rnacentral:rRNA from 1 species